UACGGAGGGGGCUAGCGUUGUUCGGAAUUACUGGGCGUAAAGCGCACGUAGGCGGCUUUGUAAGUUAGAGGUGAAAGCCCAGGGCUCAACCCUGGAAUUGCCUUUAAGACUGCAUCGCUUGAACAUCGGAGAGGUAAGUGGAAUUCCGAGUGUAGAGGUGAAAUUCGUAGAUAUUCGGAAGAACACCAGUGGCGAAGGCGACUUACUGGACGAUUGUUGACGCUGAGGCGCGAAAGCUAGGGGAGCAAACGGG
rnacentral:rRNA from 1 species